CUUUCUUUGUGGACUUUUCCUCUGUGAGCCUAGAUUUUUGGAGACAGACACAAGAAUGGUUAUGCAGCCUGAAGAAGUUAAUGGAACUAGCAAAGAAGAAACAAAGAAGAAUUGAAGAUUUAGCUACUAGGCUUCCAAAGGUGUGGACGAAAAGUAACCAAGGUAAUUGGGCUUAUCCUAGUAUUGUUGAUAUAUAAACUUUAGGCAAACAAAGCAAACAAACAACCUCAGACAACAAAAACUCACAACAAACUACCACAUUUGAAAUCUCAGCAAACAUUGUUGAACUGCAUAUCUAUGUGCCCCCUUUUAUUACUUUGCUUUUCAGUUGUCGGCUCUGCUGCAUACGCAGAUUAAAGUUUCAUGCUCUGUCUCAUUAGCCAUGGUUUUACUACAGACUUGUACACUCAGAACACCAGCUUGUGUCUCAGCUGUUCUUUAGAUGCUGCUGACAGUGAUAAACAGGGA
ensembl:lncRNA